rnacentral:rRNA from 1 species
CCCUUUUCGAGAGAGGGGGGAGUGAAAGAGGGCCGAUCCAUGGAAGCUCUCGCGCGGGGAGGGGCCUGCGUCCUAUCAGCUAGUUGGCAGGGUAACGGCCUACCAAGGCGACGACGGGUAGCUGGUCUGAGAGGAUGAUCAGCCACACUGGCACUGGAACACGGGCCAGACUCCUACGGGAGGCAGCAGUGAGGAAUUUUGCGCAAUGGGGGAAACCCUGACGCAGCAACGCCGCGUGGGUGAUGAAGGCCUUCGGGUCGUAAAGCCCUGUCGGGUGGGAAGAAUACUUCCAGCAAGGUAAUACCAGUGGAAGGUGACGGUACCACCAGAGGAAGCACCGGCUAACUCCGUGCCAGCAGCCGCGGUAA